CCCGGAGCCAUGGCAACCGUGACCUCACCGGCGAGCUCCACCUGCCCGCGUGGGCCCCGUUCCUCGGGCGCCGGCUCCCGGGUGCCCCCCUCUGGGGAUGAGACAGUGGGCGCCGCCGGGUGCCAGCCGGCCCCAAGCCGCUGCGGCGGUCCCGAGUCGGGGGAAGGGGGCUCGAUGUUUGACCCAAAGCCAGCCCCCAGUCGCCCCUAGAAUCGCUAAGGUGACCCCUACUGUGACCUCUGUCCCAGUUCAGCAAUCACCCAGCCUCCCUUAAAACCAAAUAUUUUCUCAUCACCAAAAAUACCGGCCUUGUCCCACUUUAGCCCUUGAGACCACAAAGGCAGGAAUAGCUACAGUGUUGAAGAAACUAACCAAGUUGGUAGAGAGGCAGGGGAAUUCUUCAGUAAAAUUCCUUCUUAUAAAACCAAAGUCACCCGGCACGACCAAUCUAAUAUAGUGUCACCGAGUACAGGGGAAUGGAGAAACUAGGAUUUGCGUGUUCAAGGACGGAGAAACCGCCCCAAGCACGCAUUCCACUCAUUGGGUGGGUAAGGGUCAGGGAAGGGACGUCAUUUUCCUUCCUCCCACCCCGUCUCUGAACAAUUCUAUAGCUAAAUGACUGUCAAAGUGUCCGCGUCCUAUUUCUGUCACUUGUAUAACCCUGAUGAAGAAGUGGUGCACACUGUCCGGUAAGCCACGUCAUGUUAAAGACCAACCGUCUGUUAGGCAAAAGAAAGAAGUAAACAAUAAAAUAAAAAUUCCACCUUUACUCGUGACUCUCCAAGGACAUUAAAGAACUGUGUUGUCGGCUCACUGCACGGACAGUAUUAAAAACUGACUCCCAGGGCACUGUAAAUGUGACAAGGAGAACGCAUGUUUACUCUCUCUGACCAAAGGAUAUUUACUAGUGCUCUGACUCUCCAUCUGACUAAAUGUCGGCUCCCCAGGCUCUUCUGGAGACACCAAGAGAAAAGUAAAGGGUUUGCUGUACAAUCAAGCACCCUCCAGAAGAUUGAGCACUUAGCACAGUCCAGGUCUCUGCCCCUUCAAGGAAACAGAAGGCUGGGAGCAGGACCGGAGAAGGCACAGCUGGCAAAGAUACAGUUCUGACUUCAAUGCAAGAGAAACAAAAGGUGAAAGAGUCCUUCUAACUACUGUGAAAACACAGCCCCAAGGCUGCAUAAGAGCUAAAAAUAGUUUCUCCAAGGGGGUAGUUAAAUCUCAUUGUGUCCCCAGGAAGCCAUUGGCUCUAUUUCUUCACUACCAGUAUUUAUUAGACUCUUUCUAACCAGGUCUCCAGGUAAAAUAAAGUCUUUCAAAGACUCUUCUCUCUACUCUUG
rnacentral:lncRNA from 1 species